UACGGAGGGUGCAAGCGUUAUCCGGAUUCACUGGGUUUAAAGGGUGCGUAGGUGGGUCUGUAAGUCCGUGGUGAAAUCUCCAAGCUUAACUUGGAAACUGCCGUGGAUACUAUAGAUCUUGAAUAUUGUGGAGGUAAGCGGAAUAUGUCAUGUAGCAGUGAAAUGCUUAGAUAUGACAUAGAACACCGAUAGCGAAGGCAGCUUGCUACACAAUCAUUGACACUGAGGCACGAAGGCGUGGGGAUCAAACAGG
rnacentral:rRNA from 1 species